UUUGCCUACGGGACGCAGCAGUGGGGAAUAUUGGGCAAUGGGGGGAACCCUGACCCAGCGACGCCGCGUGAGUGAAGAAGGUUUUCGGAUUGUAAACCUCUGUCCUUGGUGACGAUAAUGACGGUAGCCAAGGAGGAAGCCACUGCUAACUACUAGCCAGAAGCCGCGGUAAUACGUAGGUGGCGAGCGUUGUCCGGAAUUACUGUGUGUAAAGGGAGCGGAGGCGGGAGGGCGAGACGACUGUGAAAUCGAUGGGCUUAACCCAUAGCUGCGAUCGAAACGGUUCAUCUUGAGUGAAGUAGGGG
rnacentral:rRNA from 1 species